rnacentral:misc_RNA from 1 species
AUGAUUAUUUUUCUUCUUCUUUUACUUUAGUUCCUUGGAAGGAGGGACACUGUUCGAAAGUUAGCUCAUACCAUAUUUCUAUAAAUGGAUUUCUCUCCAAAAUGACGACAAACAUAUAAAGACAUUUGAAUAACAAAAACCAGAGGAGAAAUCCCAUUUCAUUUUUCAUUUUCUCUGUAAUUUCUUUUCCCUCCACCCCCCACUGAUAAUAUUUAGUUUAGGCAUGUUUGGCAAUCAUCAAUUAUUGCAGGGUCUCCAUUUUGAUGAUGGGUAUGUCUUGAAAAUUUCAUCCCAUCACCAUCUCAAGUUUCUUGCAGAAUUGCUUAAUCCCUUGUUGGGGUUUUGACACACUUUCCUAAAAAGUAAAUGCUAGCUGAAGUUAUCCGAGUAAGGUCUCAUUUCUCUCGGUUCUUUCUCCAUUUUUAUAAUUUUGCAAGUCUAUUUUCAGGAGGAAAAAGAAAGGGUCUUUGUAGUUUCUUUGUUUGGUUUCUCUUACACUAGGGCUUAUCAUAGAAGAAGAAAAAAUGGGUGAGAAAUGGCGAUUUGCAGUGCAUGUUUUAAAUGGGAGAUGGUUUUCGGUUUUUGCCUCGUUUAUAAUCAUGGCUGGAGCUGGUGCAACCUAUUUGUUUGGAACCUACUCUAAAGUUAUAAAAGCCACUCUUGGCUAUGACCAAAAAACUCUGAAUCUUAUAGGUUUCUUCAAGGAUCUUGGUGCCAAUGUUGGGGUCCUUUCUGGCCUUAUAGCUGAAGUAACACCAACAUGGUUUGUGCUUCUCACAGGCUCUGCUAUGAACUUUGUUGGGUAUUUCAUGAUUUGGUUAGCUGUGACUGGCAAGAUCGCCAAGCCUAGUGUCUGGCAAAUGUGUCUCUAUAUUUGCAUAGGAGCCAAUUCCCAAAACUUCGCAAAUACAGGAGCUCUCGUCACUUGUGUCAAAAAUUUCCCAGAAAGUAGAGGUGUUAUGUUGGGUCUUUUGAAGGGUUUUGUUGGGCUAAGUGGAGCUAUCUUUACCCAACUUUACUUGGCCAUCUAUGGAAACGAUUCCAAGUCUCUCAUUCUUCUCAUUGCCUGGCUUCCUGCUGCUCUUUCUGUGAUUUUUGUGUAUA